rnacentral:tRNA from 1 species
AAUUAUAUAGUCUAUACAGGAUACUAAAUUGCAAAUUUAGUGGUAUUUUUAAAUUUUAUAAUUU